CAAGCUGACAGCCUACUGCAAGUUUCUCUUUUAUCCGAGCUUGGGGCCAGCAAUUUGAGCAAGCUCACUACAAGAAAAUAGCUUUUCCGACUACCAAAAUAGGUGAAAAGUAGUCGGAAAAGUAUAUGUUCCGGCUACUUUCUGACUGUUUUCACGUAGCUGGAAAAUGGUACGUCAGAAAAACAUGUCCAACUACUAUAGUCGGAAAAUUUAUUUUGGCAAAGAUCCGAAAAGGUUGGUAUUUUCUGACUGAAGUAGUCUAAUUAUAGUCAGG
rnacentral:lncRNA from 1 species